CAAACCUCCUCAGACCAGCCAUCAAAGCAUUGUGACUUUUUUUCAGUUAAAUACAUGUUUGUAUAUAUAACAUAUUAGUUUAGCACAGAGCAUGAUAAAUUUCAUCUGUGGGUGGUUCUCUGAACUUGCCAUGACUCCUGUAACUCUCAUGAAUAUCUGUGAAGCUCUGAUAACUCCCUCUGCUGCAGUUAAGCAGAUGUUUUGGGAGAGCUCACCAGUACAGCGCCCUGAAUCUCAUGUCUGCCCACACUUCCGGUAACUGAAGCUGCCUGCGUAAUGUAAUGAACUCCCAAGAACCCUCUUUGCAUGCUCCUGAUAAAUAAUGAAGAUAUACAAAAUCUAAUUUAAAAAAAGACAACGAAUAAAAAUUUUGAAAGUGCUA
rnacentral:lncRNA from 1 species